UACAGAGGUCCCAAGCGUUGUUCGGAUUCAUUGGGCGUAAAGGGUGCGUAGGUGGCGUCGUAAGUCGGGUGUGAAAUUUCGGAGCUCAACUCCGAAACUGCAUUCGAUACUGCGGUGCUUGAGGACUGGAGAGGAGACUGGAAUUUACGGUGUAGCAGUGAAAUGCGUAGAGAUCCGGAGGAACACCAGUGGCGAAGGCGACACGCUGGGCCGUACCUGACGCUAAAGCGCGACAGCAUGGGGAGCAAACGGG
rnacentral:rRNA from 1 species